rnacentral:rRNA from 1 species
GUGGGGAAUGUUGGACAAUGGGCGAAAGCCUGAUCCAGCCAUGCCGCGUGUGUGAAGAAGGUCUUCGGAUUGUAAAGCACUUUAAGUUGGGAGGAAGGGCAGUAAGUUAAUACCUUGCUGUUUUGACGUUACCGACAGAAUAAGCACCGGCUAACUUCGUGCCAGCAGCCGCGGUAAUACGAAGGGUGCAAGCGUUAAUCGGAAUUACUGGGCGUAAAGCGCGCGUAGGUGGUUUUGUAAGUUGGAGGUGAAAUCCCCGGGCUCAACCUGGGAACUGCCUCCAAAACUGCAUGACUAGAGUACGGUAGAGGGUAGUGGAAUUUCCUGUGUAGCGGUGAAAUGCGUAGAUAUAGGAAGGAACACCAGUGGCGAAGGCGACUACCUGGACUGAUACUGACACUGAGGUGCGAAAGCGUGGGGAGCAAACAGGAUUAGAAACCCGAGUAGUCC